AUGUGGGAGUCUCAUGACUCUUUCUCGCCAUUGUUAUCUAAUCUUUGGCAGGAAAAGGGAAAGGCCACCACAUGUGGUGAGCUACAGCACAAGCUGGAAUCCAUCUCGACCAAGUUGCAGUCUUGGGAACGUGACACCUUUGGUAGUGUUAAAAGGCGAAUCAGCGAACUUACCACUGAGCUGGGAAGACUGAGAGCUGAUCCGAUCCGGGUUGGCCCUAGUCAUGCGGAGAUAAAGAUCAGCAACAUGCUCAUUGAAUUACAACAGAGAGAGGAGGUGAUGUGGCGCCAAAGGUCGAGGAUCCAAUGGUUGUCUGAAGGUGACAAGAAUACAAAUUUUUUUCAUCUCCGUGCUAGUCAGAGAAGGAAGAAAAAUCGUAUUACUCGGUUGAGGAGGGAAGAUGGAGAGUACACGGAGGAUGAGGCAGAAAUGUGUGCGCUAGCAACAGCCUUAUAUACUGACUUAUAUGGGUCCGAGGCGACUCACGGCUUGGAGGAGGUUCUAAAUGUGGUACAGACCAGGGUGACACAUGACAUGAACGAGCUGUUGAUCGCCCCUUUUGAUGGAAAGGAGGUUAGGACGGCAUUAUUCCAGAUGUUCCUGACCAAGUCUCCUGGUCCGGACGGGUACCCGGCACACUUUUUCCAGCGCCAUUGGGCAGUGUGUGGGGAGGAAGUUACCAUGGCAGUGCUGCGGUUACUGCGAGGUGAGGAAGAUAUGGCAUCUAUUAAUCAAACCUUUUUAGUGCUGAUUCCUAAAGUUGCCAGCCCGGAAGAUCUUAGCCAGUUCAGACCUAUAGCAUUGUGCAAUGUUUUAUACAAAAUUGCCUCAAAGGUUUUGGUGAAUCGUUUGAAGAUAAUCCUCCCGGAGAUUGUAGCAGAGGAGCAGUCGGCAUUUGUUCCUGGGCGCCUUAUUACAGAUAACAUUAUUACUGCUUUUGAAUGUCUACAUUUUAUGAAGGGAAACAAAGCAAAGAAGAACAAUUUCUGUGCUCUCAAGCUGGACAUGAGGAAAGCUUAUGACAGAAUUGAGUGGAGCUACCUACGUGCAAUCAUGUCCAAGCUUGGUUUUCACCAACAGUGGGUUAAUAUGGUAAUGAGGCUUGUUUCAAUAGUCUCUUUUUCCAUUCUCUUCAAUGGUGUGAAGUCUGAAAAGUUUGCCCCCUCCCGAGGUUUAAGACAAGGUGAUCCAAUAUCUCCGUAUUUGUUUUUGUUAGCAGCAGAGGGCUUAUCAAGCCUCAUAAAAGAUCGUUGUGAAUCAUCAGCUCUUCAAGGUGUAAAAGUGGCAGAGUCGGCACCGGCGAUAAGCCACUUACUGUUUGCAGAUGUUUGCCUGCUGUUUUUCAAGGCAAAUCUGGAGAGUGCGAAUCACAUUCGGGAUGUUUUGGAAUUAUAUUGUAAUGCGUUAGGGCAGCGAGUAAAUCUGGACAAAUCGUCCAUUUUCUUCAGCAAGGGGUGCUCGGAGGCAUUGAGACAUGAUAUUAAAGAUUGGCUUGAUGUCCACCAGGAGACACUGAAUGAGAAAUACCUAGGAAUGCCAAUUGAUGUGGGGCGAGAUAAAAAUGGUAAACUCCAGUUCUUGAAAGACAGAAUAUGGAAGCGGGUGCAGGGUUGGUUUGAGAAGACAUUGUCAGCAGCAGCUAAAGAUGUCCUCAUCAAAUCUGUAGCGCAGGCGAUACCCACUUACUCGAUGUCAUGUUUCAGGUUACCAAGAGGCUUAUGCCAGGAGAUCAAUUCCAUCCUACGUAAGUUCUGGUGGGGAUGUAAAGCUGGUGAACGAAAAGCUUGUUGGGUGGCAUGGUCGGAUAUGACAAAGCCACGGUACAUGGGAGGACUAGGGUUUAGGGACAUAGAAUUGUUCAACCUAGCUCUUUUAGCUCGUCAAGCAUGGCGGGUUCUACAAUCACCAGAUAGUUUGAGUGCGAGGAUACUCAAAGCGAGAUACUUCCCAGCAACAGAGUUCUUGCAAGCAGAUUUGGGCUCGCGACCGUCGCAGGUAUGGCGAGCUAUCCUUGAUGGGAGAGAUACUCUGAAGCAAGGGAUAAUUAAGAGAAUUGGUACGGGCGAAGCUACCGAUCCAUGGAAUGAUAACUGGCUGCCCCGAGAUGGGAGACUACGACCUAUUGCUUGCCUGGCGGCGCAUGCCCCUUCCAGGGUGAGUGAGUUCAUUGAUCGUACGUCAGCAACAUGGAACUGUGAGAAGCUUAAGGAGUGUUUUCCUGCCGAUGGAUGUGGAGGCGAUUCUGAACCUCCCUUUGUCGACCAGGAACCAGCAGGACGAGUGGGCUUGGCACUAUGA
rnacentral:rRNA from 1 species